CAGUCGCCGCGGUAAUACGAAGGGUGCAAGCGUUACUCGGAAUUACUGGGCGUAAAGCGUGCGUAGGUGGUGGUUUAAGUCCGUUGUGAAAGCCCUGGGCUCAACCUGGGAAUUGCAGUGGAUACUGGGUCACUAGAGUGUGGUAGAGGAUAGUGGAAUUUCCGGUGUAGCAGUGAAAUGCGUAGAGAUCGGAAGGAACAUCUGUGGCGAAGGCGGCUAUCUGGGCCAACACUGACACUGAGGCACGAAAGCGUGGGGAGCAAACAGGAUUAGAUACCCGAGUAGUCCCUGUCUCUUAUAC
rnacentral:rRNA from 1 species